CCAAAGGCUCUUUUCAGAGCCACCUCAAUAUAUCAUAAAAGAAGCAU
rfam:Danio rerio chromosome 25, GRCz11 reference primary assembly.